rnacentral:rRNA from 1 species
UACGUAGGGGGCAAGCGUUAUCCGGAUUUACUGGGUGUAAAGGGAGCGUAGACGGUCCUGCAAGCCAGAUGUGAAAGCCCGGGGCUCAACCCCGGGACUGCAUUUGGAACUGUAAGGCUAGAGUGUCGGAGAGGCAGGCGGAAUUCCUAGUGUAGCGGUGAAAUGCAUAGAUAUCGCGCAGAACCCCGAUUGCGAAGGCAGCCUGCCGGCCCCACACUGACGCUGAGGCACGAAAGCGUGGGUAGCGAACAGG